UGAACGCUGGCGGCGUGCCUAAUACAUGCAAGUCGAGCGAACAGACGAGGAGCUUGCUCCUCUGACGUUAGCGGCGGACGGGUGAGUAACACGUGGAUAACCUACCUAUAAGACUGGGAUAACUUCGGGAAACCGGAGCUAAUACCGGAUAAUAUAUUGAACCGCAUGGUUCAAUAGUGAAAGACGGUUUUGCUGUCACUUAUAGAUGGAUCCGCGCCGCAUUAGCUAGUUGGUAAGGUAACGGCUUACCAAGGCAACGAUGCGUAGCCGACCUGAGAGGGUGAUCGGCCACACUGGAACUGAGCCACGGUCCAGACUCCUACGGGAGGCAGCAGUAGGGAAUCUUCCGCAAUGGGCGAAAGCCUGACGGAGCAACGCCGCGUGAGUGAUGAAGGUCUUCGGAUCGUAAAACUCUGUUAUUAGGGAAGAACAAAUGUGUAAGUAACUAUGCACGUCUUGACGGUACCUAAUCAGAAAGCCACGGCUAACUACGUG
rnacentral:rRNA from 1 species